CAGGCCUAACACAUGCAAGUCGAACGGAAAGGCUCCAGCUUGCCGGAGUACUCGAGUGGCGAACGGGUGAGUAACACGUGGGUAAUCUGCCCUGCACUCUGGGAUAAGCCUGGGAAACUGGGUCUAAUACUGGAUAUGACCUUUCUCCUUAUGGGGUUUGGUGGAAAGUUUUUCGGUGUAGGAUGAGCCCGCGGCCUAUCAGCUUGUUGGUGGGGUGAUGGCCUACCAAGGCGACGACGGGUAGCCGGCCUGAGAGGGUGAUCGGCCACAUUGGGACUGAGAUACGGCCCAGACUCCUACGGGAGGCAGCAGUGGGGAAUAUUGCACAAUGGGCGGAAGCCUGAUGCAGCGACGCCGCGUGAGGGAUGACGGCCUUCGGGUUGUAAACCUCUUUCAGCAGGGACGAAGCGUGAGUGACGGUACCUGCAGAAGAAGCACCGGCUAACUACGUGCCAGCAGCCGCGGUAAUACGUAGGGUGCGAGCGUUGUCCGGAAUUACUGGGCGUAAAGAGCUCGUAGGCGGUUUGUCACGUCGUCUGUGAAAUCCUAGGGCUUAACCCUGGACGUGCAGGCGAUACGGGCUGACUUGAGUACUACAGGGGAGACUGGAAUUUCUGGUGUAGCGGUGGAAUGCACAGAUAUCAGGAAGAACACCGAUGGCGAAGGCAGGUCUCUGGGUAGUAACUGACGCUGAGGAGCGAAAGCAUGGGUAGCGAACAGGAUUAGAUACCCUGGUAGUCCAUGUCGUAA
rnacentral:rRNA from 1 species